rnacentral:lncRNA from 1 species
GUGUUGGUCGAUCAUAACAUCAUUAACAUGAUAUUUUCACUUAUAAUACUGACUAACAUUAAACUUUGGAAUUAAAGUGGUUAAGUUCAGUUGCGGUCAAUUGCCGGCCGGUUGUUAAAGCGAAACAUUUAAUAUCUGAAUGUUGAACAAUGUUGCGACUGGUGCAUUAUGUUGGACUGUAGACUACACAUGCAUACAUCCAAAGCUAAAUCCAGCUGAAUAGAAAUUUGUAUCCACCAUUUCAUAUAGGUCACUUGUUCUGGGUGCCAGUGUCAUCAGCAUUUGGCUUGUCUUGGAUGACUGCUGUUGUUUAAAAAAAGGAGGAAACAGACGAAGAAAGAUAUUUGUCUUGCCUUUAUUCAUGUUCAGUGUAAUACAUUAGACGACACUUGGCAUUGGUCCUCCAGCUUGUUCUCUUAUGCUCUUCAUUGCAAUCGCUACAUGCCUCAUAAUAAUCCAGCCUCCACGUUCAGCCUUUAUGUGUUUGCUUACAGCUGGUUCACUAAAGCACUUGGCAGCAUAUGACCGUGUUGGCUAAAGAGCUUGAUCUUCUUUGGCUUCAUGAGGCAUUCCCUACUGUCAGAAGGACUAAAUAGCUAACGUUGAUUGUGUUUUGAUUUUGUCUGAUUUGGUCACAGCCUCUUUGGCACUGUUCUCCUGCAUCAACCUGCUGCCAGCUGUGGCCUCCCCUGAUCUUCAGCUCACAGGUAUCCUUCAAGCAGAUGGUUCACUGAAGUUUACCCUACCGUCCUCUUGUUUCACGAAGGUUCGCCACCCCUCCUGUGACGCACAGUGGGACGUAGACAAUGAGACGGUGGCUAUCGUAGACAAAGAUGAAAUCAAAAGAAAGCCUUCUGUAAAAGAGUUGACCAAUACUUCAGUCACCGUUGACACCUGCUCCUACACUGCCAGAUACUUCAUUGAAUGCCACGGAACGGGGUUCAGGAUGGACAUAGUCUACAUGUGUGUGACCCCUACAUCGGCUCCAAAGUCCCCUGUGUCCCCGAAUGGGACCAUCAGCUCCUUGCCGAUUCCGGAGACACGACAUGACCACAACCACAGAAGCUGGGUGGCAGUGGUCUCAAGACAUGGUGCACAUGUUGAAGGCCAACACCAUGUCGAAGGGGAAGAUACAGAAGGAACACUUAGCAAAUAUAUGAUGGAUGGAAAUAGAAAGAGAAAAUAGGACAUAUAUGUAAUGAAAUGUUACUAUUACAAAAAUGUUACUAUUACAAUAGAUCUUUUAUAUACAUGUUGUAUGUAUGGAUGUAUGUAGGCCUAUAUAUGAAUGAAUAUAUUAAGGCUAUAUUCAUCAUCAUUAUUAUUAUUUGUAUUAUUAUUAUUAUUAUUAUUAUUAUAUAAGGGACCAUGGCAGUCUGGUGGUAAUGAUCAAUGAUUAUCCUGUUGAAACUCCAUUGAAGCUACUAAUAGGGAUGCUGUAGCUGAGAAGCUCAAACCCCGCUCAGGUAUCACAUAUUAUGAUGACCUAGGUUCAAACCCAAGGUUCUGUCACUAGGGUGAGUGACUAUACUUGCCACUUGCCAUGCCUUAAAAACAGAUUUCUUAAGUGGUUUGCCUUUCCUAAUACUUCCGUUAUUGCUAUUUUUUUAUUUUCAAUCUUUUGCAUAUCUUUCAGUCAUUCUUUAUGCAUUUUUUCUUAGUUUAAAAAAAAUUAUGUUUCAUCCUUAAAAUGUCAUAUAGCCUAAUAUAUUAGCUGGCUGACUGACUGUUUGAAAAACCACAUGAGUUUGCUCUCUCUGUACCCAUAUAUGUUUAGCCUACUGUUACGCCAGAGCGAUCAAUCCUCUAGAUUCUGUGGUGGAAAUAAAUCUCGCCAACAUUUCA